GUGGAUUAGAUACCCUGGUAGUCUAUGCUGUAAACGAUGUGCACUUGGUGUUGGGCCGAUUAGGUUCAGUGCCGUAGCUAACGCGAUAAGUGCACCGCCUGGGGAGUAUGCCCGCAAGGGUGAAACUCAAAGGAAUUGACGGGGGCCCGCACAAGCGGUGGAUUAUGUGGUUUAAUUCGAUGAUACGCGAGAAACCUUACCAGGGUUUGACAUGCACAGGAAUAGUUUAGAGAUAGGCUAGCCCGCAAGGGUCUGUGCACAGGUGCUGCACGGUUGUCGUCAGCU
rnacentral:rRNA from 1 species